UUUUGUGCUUCCAUUUCAUUUUUUUAAAAACGAGUAGUUGAAAGCAUCAAAGGCUCUUUCCCACAAUUCAAACACUCCAUGAGCUCAAAAGAUUUGAUUGAAAGAAAUGUGUGGGCACCAUUACCUGACUGCCCAGUAUUUUCAUGGUCACACACUUGUUCCGUAUAUCUGAAGUCCCUUUAAGGAAGUUAACUCUUUGUAGGUGUGAGAUAGGGUCAUCAAGAGAAAUGGGGUAAGUAGAAAAAGAAGGGGAAAUAAAUUAAUGACAAAGACAGAAUGAUAGGUGGUGGAAAUGAUUCCCUUUUUACUUCUUUAUAUCUAUGGUCUAGUUAUUCCUGUUUGAAAACCUUACUGGCACCAGGUAUUAUCAACAGGGAUGAGUAAUAUGUAAUUUUUAUCUUUACUGGGUUACAUUUGGCCCACAGACAGUUGACAGCUGUCAGUCAGGUGGCUGGUCAAUGAGGAGAUACAUGUAAAGCUGCCAAAGUAUUUUUGUUUCUUUAAAUACUUAUAAGUAAACCAUUUUAGUUGGAAGCUUCAUUGUCCUGAAAUUAAAUAGAUUGAUAUUCACAAUAUAAUUUGUUGAAGUUAGUUGCUGGGAAAAUCAAAAUUUUCCCUGCUAAUAUAUGGGUAAACAAAAUGUUUUUCAAAUGUCUUUCUGAAACAGGAGAAUAAUUAAUUUUUCUCUACUAUAAAUAGAAAAGGCCAUCCUUAAGAUUUGAAGAUACAUUGCAAAUAAGGCUUAAAAUUAAAAAAAAUUUUUUUAAAUUAAACUUUUAGUACACAUAUAAGUCAAUGCAGCUUUCAGUCAUAAUUUCUGACUAAGACUUAUUAAAGAAACCAUUUCCUUACAUUGAGGGGGUUGGUAUAGGUAUUUUUGUGACACAAGAGUUGAGGGUUUACCAGAAAGGAUGAACGUGUACCUGCAUGUUGAUCUAGGAAUUAAAGCUUCUUUUCAUAAUUACAGGAAAAAAAACCAUGGAAGUUUAGAUUACGCUCACAGUUCAGGGCAUGGUUAAAAUGACAAGUUUUGGUUAUUUAGAAAUAUUUGGGUUAUACCUAAUAUUGUUUCUAAUAGGUUCAGUCACACUUAAAUAAUUCACAAGAGUCAUAAAAAAGAGAUUGGAAGAAGAUUUUGUAUGGCUUAUAUUUAGUGUUCAUGACAAACAGUAUAUUAAUUAUAGUAAAUAUAGUAAUGCACAUGAACACUUAACGAAUGUAAUUCUAAAGUUGACUUAAGAGUGUAUAUUCAGUGUUGCAGUAGUUGUCUCUAAAAGCAAAUGCUCUGAUUCUUUAGGAAUAUAGAGUUUAACAGACUAGAUAAAUAACAGAAAUAUCAAGUGCACGCAGUACAUACUCAUUUUUUAAGAGACUAAUGAAGUUAUCUAAAAAGUGCAGUGACUGGAGUUACUUAGGUGCCAGAAUCAAUAUAAUGAAGAUGAUAGAAUAUCACACAAAAAUAGCAGUUUGACACCACACUAUAUUCCUUUUUAAAAAACAAAAUAUACUUUACUUUUAUGAACCAUAAUUCUGCAUGUAAUAAUUUACAAUGAAAAUCAGACUUGGGUUUUACUUUUUAAAUUAUGUUUUAAAAAUACUAGAUUUUUUGGGUGGGAGGAUCAUUUCCGGUAAUUUUUUAAACCGCAAAUAGUUAAUAAUUUUAAAAUGGCAGCGAAGUCAGUCUAAAAGAGUAUGAUACUUAUAAAUUUGUGGCUAAUCCAUAUCAUCAUUGAUUUGAAAAUUGUUUUAGAUGAAGUGGUCAUUAAAAAAAGUCAGAUCUUAUUAUUUUCCUACUAUAGAACUAUGUAUUAAGCAUGUAGAUUGAAAAUUAUUAUGAGAUCAUCAGAAUAAAACAAUUGCCUCAUAAUAUUAGUAAUUUAUACUGGUAGGAGCCUUUCUCUUCUUAAGCACCAAUUCUACCCCCCACAGCCCAGAAAAUUGAUUUUAUGGCUGAUAAUUUAUAGCAUUCUUGAUCAGUGUAUGCUGUGUGUCGUUUACAUUCAUUAGCCCAUGUUGCUUGUGAAUAUGGAAUUUGGUUGUUAAAAUGGUUUCAUAUGUUUACUAUGUAUAGUCUUUAGCUUUGAGCUCCUUACUUGCUUAAAUAAAUGUUUUCAAUUUGUAUAAUACAACAAUUUGUAGAGAAAUGCUGUGAAUCAUAGUUAAAAGAAUGAGUCCUUGAAAUAGAAUCAUUUUUUAAAAAUAUAUCCUGACAUGUGGUCUUAUUUUUCCAUGUUUUGUAUUAAUUAAAAUCCUAUUCUGAAAAAAAUAUUUUUGACUAAACUUUUGAAUUCACAAAAUAAAAAUACCAAAUAUAUAAAUGUACUAAUUUUGGAAAUCAGUGACGUAAAAACAUGCUUUAGUAAUGUCUUCGAUGUUUAUUCCAAAGAUUUUUCUCCAAAGAAACUCUUUGUAAAGUAAUGAGAAAAUGUUGCCACUUUUAAUUAUUAAAUAUUCUAUGCAAUACAUGUUUUUAAAUUGUAUUAUAAAUAAAAUUCAUUUCAUAUUCUCUUUAAUCAUAUUCCUGUCACAUGCACCCAUAAAAAAUAGUAGCGCAUGAAACGUUUGAAAAGAGCAUGUACCAUUUCACAUUUUUAUUUGAUUUAUUGAAAAAUAACAUUUUAUUCGGAAUAGAUUAUGACAGAAUUAGAUAAAAAAGAGAUGAAAUGUUAUUUAUGUGUUUGUUUUAAUAGUCCAAUAGCAUAUGUGUAAUUACUUCUGCAUCUUUCAAAUAUUGGAGAUAGUAAUGAAAGAGACCGACAUUCAAAAUAUAAAGUAUUUCCUAUAAAACUUUUUUUGAAUGUAAAAAAUUGUCAAAUGGUAACAGCUCUACUUUCUACACCAGGCAAACCCACUGUUGAGUUAGUUGGCUCUGAUUCCAGUGGGUCUCAUCAGCUUUCUGAAUGUAGGUUCCUCAGCACUGCCUCUUCCAAGAUAACAAAAUCAACUUUUAAAGAUUAAAAAAUAUAUUUUGGCAAUUGAAACUCACCAGUGCCUUUCUGCUUCUCCAGGAAGUUGUACCCUUCAGCACCUGCUGAGGGCUUUGUUGUCCAAACUCUGACAGGUAAAAAAAUUCCUGUAGAAUAAAGCCAGACCAGCUGGCUUUGAAGAGAAACCCCCCAGUUUGGGCUGCGCUUGUCUCUUCUCCUUUUCUAUGAAGACCCAGGCUUUCCCCCCUUGAUCGUCAAGCCGUAAGAUGCGUGAUCCCUGUGCACAAGUGUCUGGCAGGCCGAGGUGCACCUGUUCCUGUCACUCUGGGGUAAAUUUAGCUGUAAAGGUAUCACUGACAACCAGACCUUUGUCAGUGUUGGCAAAAGAACACAGAAUUGCUUCGCUCCCCUCCCCCUUCCAAGCCCCAAUGCUUCUAGUUCAAAUGGAAAAUAUCAAAUUGGAAGUCUAUCCAAAAAUCAUUCCUAAAAACUGAGAUUGCUUUCAUAUGGUAAAAAAGUAAGUUUCCUCAUUUCACGCAGACUUUAAAAUUACAUUUCCAAGAAUAAUCUUGGAACAAGACAAGUUUUUGUUCAAUUAAUUGUGGCUGGAAACUUUUUAAUGGAAACAUAGCACACACUUACUUCAUUUCAGAUUAUUAAAUUGUGUUAAGCCUUAAAGUUAGUUGCCAUUCUUUGCUGUAGCUCAUUUGUUCUUUUCAAUCCAGAGAAAUAUUAGAACGUUAAAACUUAUCACAUAGGAGGGUUUAAUCAUCCUACCAAAAUUAGACAGCAUGUAGCUCUGAAAGACUGAAUGUCAAAUUGUGUGCUCGUAGCCCUUAAACUACUGAGUAUCUAGGACCCUACUACUACAUUUAAAAUGACUGUUCAUGUUUGUGGAAAACCGUGGGCAUUUAGGAACUGGUAAAGCUAGAGGUCUCUUACUCUUUGAUUAAGGGCACCACUUUCAGAUAAAAACAUAGACCUGAAUGGCAUCAUCCAGUAUCCAAGGAAACCAUAUGAUCUUUCCUGCCUGGGUUAUAUCUGCAGAGCAGCCGACACUCAUUCUUAUAAAUGUGUUUAUGUUUGAGAUUGGAUGUAGUGGAGGAUGGAAGGAUAUAAAAUGAGAGAAGGCUUGGAAACCAAGAACAUCACUCAUUCACAAAUACAUUAUGUCCCAGACACUGUUUUGACUCCAGAGUUGGAAUAUGGUGGUCCUUACUGUUCUAGAGCUCAUGGUCAAUGGGGGAUAUGAACGCUAAUCAGUCAGUUGCAAUGCAGUUGUAUUUGUUUUUGUGACAAGAGGAAGAAUAGGAUGGUAAGAAGGUAUAUAGAAGGGAUGCCCGUGGUCAGGGGAGCCUUUCUGAAGGAAGUGCUACCUAAUUUGAGGACUUCAAGAGCUCCUCUAGAGAUCACUGGAUAAAGAAUAUGAAGCUGAUAUGAUGGGAACCACUGGAGAUUUUGAGAUGGUCUAUUUAUUGAGAGCAACUUAGAUCCUAAAUUUGUCACCAGCUCUGGAUUUCUCUCCCAAGCCAGGAUUGUGUGAAGUCAUUACAAUUUAAAGCAUACUGUCGGUCGGUCAUUCCCUGGACUCCAACUUCUGUUUCACCCCCAACAUACAGAGUAGAGAAGAAAUGAACUACUACAUGGAGAUUGCUUUCUCCUACUUAUCAAGACAGAGUGGUGUACAUUCACUUCUUUUGGGGGCAUGUGUUCCAAGAAGAAGCAGAUUUCCAUUACAGACUUGAAACUGAGGUGUGUGAGGAGCACACAGAUAUUUUCCUUUGAACUUUGAAGGAGAUAAUUUGCUAUUAACAUAAAAAUAAGACUAUUCACAAAUCAUUAGCUCUGAAGAAAAAUGACAUCAACAUUGUGAGGUACUCCGCCUGUUGGACAAAUACAAAAAGAAUCAAUUGUGGCAUACCUCUUGACUAAAGAGCAUCAGUGAAUAACUGCCUGCAGAGCUUGUUAUAUUUCUGAGUUGUAUGUAUGGUUUACAGUUGCGGCCAUGUGGUAAUUGCACCAAGUUGACCAUAUUAAUAGUGAGUUUAUCUCCACCAUCUGCUGUUAUAUUGACAUCUACGUUUUUCAACAUAGCACCCUAUUUUUGUUCUGUUAUUUCUUCUUUUCCUUCUUCAUUUCCAACCAUCCCUACUGAUAUCUGCACCAUUUCAUGUUAUCAAAAAAAGGAGGCUUUCAGUGGAGAAGUGAUGGAUGGCAGGGAUAAGUGACCAAAGAACUCAGUAGAAAAAAGUUGUAAUUCAUGGCCCCAUACAACUGUAAAAAGGUGAGUCUUCGGGUAAGAAAGUAUAUGGAGUAAGCGUGAAAGACACAGGAGGGUUUAAAAGAAUCAAAGGAAAUGGCUGACAGGAUAGAGGAGAAUGAGGACCAUACAUGGGUAGGAUAACGGCAGAACAGUUCAGAGAUUAAGACGGCAUUAAUAUGAUCAUCAGAAAGAUACUUCAAAGUUUUGGCAACACACUCCAACAGCAAUAACUCCAAGGAGCCUUGUGAAAUCAGGAGCCAACAGGUGAGGUUUCCUUUAACUUUAUUCUUGAAUUGCAGUCAAGAUUAACUUGUAUAAGCCCCAUUUUCUGAUGUUUUAGUUUGUUUCCAAAGCGCUGUUCCUUCCAGUUCAUUUUUUCACUUAUCCUCACAAGGUAGCUGUGAUAGCUUCUGAGCAAAUCUCCUGGCACCCAACUCUUAGCUAAUUCCAUUAGAAAACACUGACUUUGUGUGUGAAAGGUGAAAAAAAUUCUAUUAAAUCGUUGCUAGAUUUGUAGAACUAUAGCUAAAGUUCAGGAAAGGCUUGGGGUUCCAAAGAGUAGAAAGAUAGAGAAAAGAGCAAACGUAUAUAUUCAGUAUAAGCCAACAGAAUUAACCUGGGCAUUAUUUGAGCUUUUGUUCCCUGAAGCCAUGGAUCAAUGGUGCAGAAAUAGACACUCACCUCUGACAAAGAAAAAGCAUGGAUACUGGCAUGGGAGGGCAUGGUUCCUUUUCUUUCAGCCCCAGAUCAAAUUUAAACCUGUGAUUUUGGAGCUUACUCAUCAGAGGAGAAAUAUCAUGAGCUAUUUGCUCUCUCUGCUGUAACACAGCUCUGGCAAGCCUGGAAGUUGUGUUGAGAUCGUCAAAUCUAUAGUCAAGGACCAUCUUUGUGAAUCAUGAAACCAUAUGCCACUGGUUGUCUGAAUUGGAGGAAAAAAACACCCCAAAACAAAAAAACCCAACUCUACACCAACGAAACUAGUGAUGUGCUUAGACAGUGCCAAGGGCCAUUUGACCAUCUUACACCUUCUCAAUCUAUGCAUUUAAAAAAUUUGUUGCUACUGCCUGAACCAUGUAAAAUACCAGAACUCCUGUAGUGCUAACAAGGAAUAAAGAUCUUGCACCAGAUGGUGCCUCUUGUCUCCAUCUAUCUCUAGCCCAAACAAUCUGCCAGAGUUUUGAAGAAAAAUACGAUGUGAUCAUGUUGCAAAGUAUAUGAAGAAACAGUAUGAAAAGUAAUCUGGCUCAAGCAUUGGAAUCCAGAAAGAAGGAGAUUAUUAUGACUGUGAGCCUAUAGAUGAGAGGGUAUUGUUAUCCCUGAAUUUUAGUCCUUAAGACAAAUGGUAUACCUGGGCACAGCUGGAAGGUGAGUAUCUCACCGAGAUGUCUCUUAGCAUCUCUGCAACAUAUUGACAUCAGUGAAUAUAGUCAAAAUUUCAGAAAUUGAUCUGGAUAUUUUUCUUAUAUAACAUAAAAUGAACAGUUUGAUGACUUUUAUAAAAUUGGGUAUAAGGGAUAGUACACAGAAGAACUUCAUUUAACUUUUUUUUUCCUAUAUUUAGCCUUUCAAGUUCUGAAUUUGGUCAUCUUAGUGACAAGAACUUUGGUAUAGUUUUUAUGUCCCUUUUGCAAGAUAUUGUUACAAUUUUCUUUCAUAAGCUUGGAUGGGAUUUUUUUGGUCAUUUUUCUGCUUCUCUAUAAGCCCUUUGUGGCCACCAUGUUUUCAAGUAUCCUGCACUUCCAUACUUUGAUCAAGGUAUUGGUACCCCUUUGCCAUAAAAUCCUUGACAAUUUUAUCUAACACUUACAGGAUCCUAACGUGCUUUAUGAUCAGGGGAUAUUUAGUGGGAGAGAAAGAAUCUUUCAGGUAUUUUCUAGAUGCAACUCAUCUGAACAGACGGUUUAGUUUUAGGUUUACUUUUUGUGCUUGGCCUGGAGUGAUGUAAAUGGUGAGCCUAGAAAAUAAGGAUGAUAUGAUAGAAUUUAGUUCAUUGGUGCUGUCACCAUGUGGUCUGCACGCUGAUUCUGAUCAGCAAAUGUGUGAAAGGUCUGUGUUGAGGCAAAUACAGAAAUUGAGAGUCAGCAUUUAGAAACUUCUACAGCAAUUUGACAUAGCUGUGGCAUCCAAGCAUGUGAUCACUUUUCCAGAAGUUCAUUUUAUUUUAGUUUACCUAAGUAUCAGUCCAUGAUGGAUUGGAGGAAAUAAAAACCAUGUUCAGUAACCAUGUUCAGACAGUUUAAGAGGCCUCACUCUAGAGUCCAUAACUGCAUCAUGUUAUGUAAGAUGGAUUGAAAUAAAGACAAUGGAUCCACGCCCAAAGAGGACGUUAUAGCAAUAAUCUAGCUAUGCGUUUAUCAUCCGUCAGGAGCUUUAAUGAUAACUGUGAAAGGAAAAGGACACAACAAUCACUCUGGGAAGGAGUGGGAUGUAGUUCUGAAUUGAAUGGGCUGUGCAAUCAGGAGACAUGUGCAUCCCCAAGCCUGGUAAGCAGCAUGGAUGGCAUUGCUACCAGUUCACAUAAGAGAGCCUCAGUGGAUAAAGAACCCUGCAAACACUAGGAAUUCCGGCUUUUUAGUUUUCAGUUGGUGCUGGCAAAACAUCUAUUUAGAAAUUUGCAGUGAGCCAUGAAAGACCGUGGAUCUCAACUGAAGAGUUCAAUAUUAGAAAUUUAGAACAGAUGGGAAAUUCUCCCUGAUAGUUUGACAAAGAGAAAAGAAGUUCCCUCUUCACGUUUUCUACUAUUUGAGAUGAUAUGGUUUGCAGUUUUUCUUUUCCCUUUCAAGGUAGAUGUAGUACGUGGAAGCAGAUGAAGGACACAUACAUGCUCAGAACACUUCUCUCUUUGCAGGGUGUGUUGGCACAUUGCGAGCACUUGAAAAACGCCGGAGCUGGGUUAGCCCAUUGAAAAAGUCACAAAGCCUACUUAAUGAUGAUGUAUCUAAAUGAUAUUUUAAGUAAAGCUUUUGUUUGUUUGUUUGGUAUUCCACAUUUGAAUUUCAUCAAAGAAAGAAAAUCAGAAAUGAGUAGUGAUUAACUCUUUCCAGGUUACCUCCAUAAAACCUUUUUUUCCCUCCCUUUAACCUCUUAAUAGAGUUGUGAUAAUGUUUUCAGUGCUAACCAUAGUAUCACUAUGAUUUCUGAUUCCUCAUUGUACUCUUAUUAGUGAUUUUGUUAAUUUCAUUUGAAACAUUUUGUCAGUCUAUACGAUUUUUAUGGGCUGUGAAAAUGAUCCAUAGGAACAAUUGUUUUUAUUGUUGCUUCUGUGGAAAUUCUAUUACAGAAUUAUGGCUGAGGGAAAGGGUGACACCUCAUCUAAUUCAACACACACACACACACACACACACACCACGUUCCUACCAGAUGAUCUCUUUGACUCCUUGGUGCAGGGAGUAAAGGAAAUAUUGGGACUCAGGUAAACAUUCGUCUCUCUGGGUCUAGGAGACACUGGCAUUCACCAAAAAUACAGUGUGGAUUGUUUGUUUUUAAGGUAUAUCUCAUAGAAGUAUUAGCUUCACAGUUGGAAAAAGGUCCUUUUUAAAAAAAAAUUUUUCUAUUAUCAAAUACCUAACCCGUUCCCAUUUUAGCCCUGCUGCCAAGGGAGGACAAUUCCACUUGUUACUGGUCUCUGAGGGAAUGGGGAGCAGAAUGGUCUUUCUCCCUGGGCUUUGGGAAGUAUGUUGCUUGCUGGGUGUGAACCUGGCCUUGAACAAAUGGCAGAGUUCAAGACCAUGUAUGCCAAGUAAUCUCCCUUAGCUCAUUAACAUGUACAAAACACAUAGGCAAAAUGGUAAUUCCUGUUUUAUUUUUUCCCUUUUCUUUCUCGACCAUCUUUCUAAAACUUCACAUUGCCUCUCCUAUUCAUGUCUUUGUGUUCUUCCCUCUGUACGGGCAUCAUUUGAUGGGCAAAGAGUGCCUGCUUACACACUGCACGUCAUUUGGGCUGUCGUCGACUGUGCAGGGUAUUUCAAUGUGAUUGCAUCUGUAUUCAUCUACUGACAGAAGUGGCAAUGUUGCAGACAGGGAUAUUUGCUAUCGAAACAAACAAAGCGUGUGGUGUUAUAGAUUUGUAUGCAAAACCUUCACAACAAAACUAAGUAGCUAUUUACUUUAAAUAUGCCAAUUAACUGUUACUAAUGUACAGUGCAAUUCUAGGUUAAGGAUGAUUGAUAGUAACACGCAGUGAAAUGUUCUUAAACUACAGUCAGGAAAUGUAAAUGUACAAAAUGGAAAGAACCAGCAGCUGACAGCACUAGUUACAUGUUUCAAAACAACACUUUCAAAUUGUUCCUUCAUCCUUUCUCUAUUCUGCAUUUCUACAGCCUGGUAGCCAGCACUAUACUAAGAAAGUUUCAGAAAAGAGAAAAUGUUUUAGUACGAAGUAAACAUCAUGGGCUUAAUCUCAUUUGUUUCACUCAGGCAGAACUCUUAGGAACCACAGUGGGAGUUUUGCUUGACUGAAGAGAAUAGUAUUGUCUCUUCUAAAUGUCUGACAUUGAAUCUGUUGCUAUUACAAAACUAAUUAAAAGGAGAGAUGACUUCUCCUUUAGUUGCUACACCCUGUCUCCACCGACACUCUUCUUCAUUUGCCCUAGACUAACACUAUCCAAAAAAAAAAUACAAAGAAAGCCACAAGUGCUAGCCACAUAUAUAUUUUUAAAUUUUCUUGGAACUAAACUUAAGAAAUAAAAAGAAACAGAUGACAUUAAUUUUAAUAACAUUUUUAUUGAGCCCAGUAUUUCCAAACUAUUAGCAUUUUAACACGUAGUCAAUAUAAAAUAUGAAUAAGGUAUUUUGAAUUCUUUUCUCCAUACCAGGUCUUUGAAAUUUGGUGUGUAUUUUGUGCAUAUAGCUUAUGUCGAUUUCAGAAGAACCACAUCUUAAGGUUUGGUAGCUUUCCGUGGCCAGACUCUACUAUAUGGGAUAGAACAGUUCUGUAUAUUGCCAUUUAAGGACCAGUCUAGUGUGAGUGAUUAAAAUGAUUACUUUGGAUGGUCAGGAAAAGCUGGAUGUGCAUCCUCUAUCGACACAACGAUACAAUUGCCGUUCAAUUCUGUCAGUCACUGUUAAAGCCUGUCAUUUUGUUGGGGAAAGAUGAGUUAAAUUCAUAAACUCAGUCAGCUGAUUGAUGAUUUUACAAAGCUACCUGGCUUUUAAAUGCUAACAUAUGUGUUCCAGGGAUACAUUAUAAAUAUUCUCAUACUAAAAUCUCAAAAGAAAAAUAGGGAAUUACUUAAAAAGUAAAAGUAUAAUGUCAAGAGCCUUUUGAUAUGCUUUAAAUGCCAGUUGAACAUUUUCAUGACGCAUUUUAUCACAACAAUAAAAAUUGGGUGUGUAUUGUUAGAAAAACUAUCAGUAAGUGAGGAUACUGUCUAGUAAACCCUCUAAGAAGGAAAACUGGAUCUACUUAACUCCAGUUAAUUAUUUAUUAACACUAACUAUAAACUAAAGAACAUAGCACAAACAUGAUUAAGCAGAAAUUGAGCCUCAAACACGGGAGGAGAUAAUAAAAGAGGAGCUUUUGGGGGGAGAACAUUAGAUUUUUCCAGAGUCAGACAAAUUAUAUUAAUUUACUGUUUUCUGUAUGCAACACACUGGUAAAAGAUGUGGAGGCAAAUGACAACAACAAUAACAACACAGUUAUGUCAUGCCUGUUCAAGGUUAGGGAAGACAUUUAUGUGAGGACAAACCUCCAAAACAAACCAUAAUAAAUUAAGUGCUGUAAUUAAGGUAAUUAUCAGAAGUACUGAGAUACUCUUUAAGUAUGUUGUCUUUGAAGAGUCAUGGAGUAUUGUGGAAAGGCACCCAUUUCUGCCCUUCUGCUUUGCUCUGCACUCCCCACCUCCGCAGGCUGCGUUUCAGUUUCCCAGAUUUCUGUGUCAGCUGACUCUCCAGUGGGUGAAGCCAGUGGGAAGCCCAGUGGGAGAGUAAAGGGCUGGAGGAAGGGACAAGUCAGGUUAUCUCCCCUAUUUCUCUGUGCCUCGGGGGAUAUCUCUGGAAAUGUCUCAGGUAAUGUCUUCUCUAUAGCUGUAACUCCUGCUCUCCAUUCCUGUCACAGUUGCGUCCUUCUCCAGGUGACCGUCACCCCUGGCCCUGGUAUCACAGACUCCUCCCUUUUAUUCUCUAGCCUAGAAGUCCUAGUGACUUCCUGCUAUUUCUGAUCUGCGGUUGCCUCACCACCCCCUGUUCAGUGAGCCUUUCGGUGUCUGUGUAACCAAUUCCCUGUACUAAAUCCACUCCCUUCCACUCUUUUAAAUACUAAGACUCACCCUCCCCAGUCGAAUUGUGACUGAUAUAGAAUGAAAGAUAGAUUCUGGAAACAAAAAUGAGCCAAGUGCCAAAUGAAUUAUUAAGCAGAUUGCAUAUGUGCACCCAAAAGCAGGCAGUGAUCACUAACAGCCAACAUGAGUUCCUCAGCAGCAAUCAUGACCAAUUCACUUCGCUUAUUUAAUUGGUGGUUACAGACGUACUGGCAUUAGUACGUGAGCAGUGCCUUUGAAGUGAUCUCUCAUGAUGUCCUUGUGGUUAAGAGACACAUGUGCUGGAUGAUACAGAUUUAGUCAGGUUUAUAGGCUGUACUGGAAAAUACCUAGAGGGAACCAUGGCUGCUAUUCAAUAUUUGAAGAGGGAUUAGAUUAAAUCUUUGAAACACUAGAGGCUAGAGCCAGGAUCAAUGUUUGAAGUUCAGGGAAUCUGAUUUUGGCUCAGUAAAUGGAAGUGCAUUCUAAGAAUUAGACUUCUUCAGAAAUGGAAUAGGUGCUCUAUGAGGAAGAUGAUUUCUGUCCCUGUUUGUAUCCAGACACAUUUUACCAGAUUUUUUUUUAAAGAGAUCCUUGCAUUUCACUUGAAAUAUAUUAGUCUGAAAGUAUCUUCCAACUGAAAGCUGAAGAACGUACGAAUAUGGUUAUCCAUGCUUGAUACUAGCGUGACACCAGAUGUAACUUUGUCUUUGGAUUAGAUUUCAGAAGGAGCCCCAAAACUUUCACUGCCUCCAGGUGAUCAUGGUUAAUGUUAAUGAUCAUUGUCCUGCUGAAAACCAAUUAAUCAAAUUUCCUGGUUUAUAGAAGCACAAAUGUACGGUUUUUUAGUUCAGGGAUAAAAGGCUUUUGUCUCACUUUGAGAAAAUCAACAUAUGAAGGAAGGGGCAUAAAGCAUGAGCAAACACUACGUAAACAUUAAUGGAUGCAUUUAGAAUAUAAAGAUAUGCAUACAAGAAAUUUUGAAGGUUUUCAUGAGGAGUGACAUCAGUCUUGUGUGGGUUAGUUGUCAGGACAAAACUUGACUUCAUAAGAAAGUUUUUGCAGAAGAUGAAAAUUUUAGCAGGUAUUUUUAUCACCUGCUAUGACAGAAAACAUUUGAACUUCAGCUAUAAUCAAUCAGUCAAUCAUUCAACAAGUUUUCAUCAAGCACCUGCUAUAUGUCUAGCAUCAGAGAUAGCCAAGGGCAAAAAUUUUAAGCAGGAGGAAUUGUUUUCUUGUCUCUUUUACUCUGCCCUUGCCCACUGCCUGAUGUCAAGAAUUUGAAAGAUUUUCAAUGACCUGUAGGUGUCUGAGAAAAUGUUUUACAAUAAGACACAAGAUAUAUCCUAAGUAACAUUACUUGUAGAAUAGAGGUAUGAAUGAGUGAAUACAUGAGUUCACCUCCAUUAAGAGGAUUUUAUUCACUUGUUUCUGAUGAACAUGUUUUGAGUACCUUCUAUAAACAAAGCCCCGAAUGAAUUACAUAUUGUUCCCACUUUCAUAAAUUUCCAGGAUCGUGAUGAUAAAUCCAUGCAUACAGAGCUAAUUGUAAUACAAUAUAAGUGCUGUGCUACAGGUAUUAACACAAUGCUAUGGUAACACAGAGGAGGAUAUGAUUAAUUUAUUAAUUUUGCUGCAAUGGGGGUUGGGUGAGAGGCCGGAGCUGACAUGGGAGAAGCUUCAACAUAGAAGAGGCAACAUAUAAACUGAGACUAAAAGAAAAAAAUACCUCUUUCUGCAGGAAAAGCAUCCUGUAAGCAGUAAAAAGAGUUUAGGUGGAGGCUUAAAGGCAUUUGCUUUUUAACAGCUAUAGGUUUUCACUGGCGUUAACCAGGGGUCAAAGCACCUUUGUGGGAAUUUAGGGAGGUAUUAUCUCAAUUAGACUCUUCAUGGAAAGCUUUAUUCUUCAGUGUAGGGUCAGCAUGGUCAAUUCCUCUGCUAUAUACUAAUAUAUCAACAGUGCCUAAUAAUUACUCGUAGUGGUCUGAUAGAUUCAGUGAGUAAUGCACAUGGAGUUUUUAGGUUUUGAACAAAAAUAUUCAAUUUAAGCCUUAUGCAUUAAUUCUUCCUUUCAAAAUCAACAUCUGCUAGCCCCCUUUUUCAGCAAAGUGUUUACAUAGUAGAAGUAAAUUCAUCUAUGGCAUGACACACAAUAAUAUUAAUGUACCACUAACAAGAUAUUUUUUCUUUAAAAACAAGUCUUUAUGACUUCAGCUCUGGUCUGCUAGCACUCUGAUCUUUUAGCACCUGCCAUCACUUGUGGCAGCUCACAGAGCAAGGGCACCUCCCACAUAUCUAGAUUUCCUGUUUUUCUUUUGGGCAGGAGCAUUGAAAAGAACAACUUUCAGGCAAAAGAAACAAGGUCAAAAGACUGGAUUUGCUAGUGGAUUUGCUACCCAAAAUCUACUUGGAGGAUCAAACUGCAGGAGCUAUAGCCUGAAGAAUUUCUGUAAUAAACCGGAAACAAUCACUAAAAGGAAACAUGUAGAAAAACAUUUUUUUCAGCUAGGAAGGUGUUUUAGUCAGAAUUUUUCUAGGAUUAUGAAAUUUGCAAUUAAUUUACAGCAAGUUUUAAUUUAGUUCUUAAUUUUACUGGCCAAAAUCUUGUUCUACUUUGGAUCUACUGUUUUUUUCAUUCCAGAGUGAAUGCCAUUUUUAAGGGGUGGUUUAAAAACCAAUAAUUUAAUCCACAUUCUGCUAAAACUUUUAGUAUAAGUGCUUUACUCAGAAGUAUUUUUUUCUUUCUUAAAAAAUCUGAUUUUAAUUGCCAAACUCAUUUUUACAAAUCAAUUCAAUGAAAAAAAUUCUAUGGUUUCCACUGUUUUUUUUUCUUUCUUAAACCCAAGGGAAAAAGUGGGUGAACAACAACAAAAAAAAGCACUCCAUGUAGAGUCUUCUUUAAUGUCUCAUUUUGGUGAUGUAUGAAAUCAAAACCAAAUUGUUUGAACCAGCCAUAAAGCUUAGUUUGAAUUAUCCAGGGUGCUUGUGUUUUGCAGUCAUUUCUUGUGAUGAUUUUAUUUUGUUCCUUUGGUAUGAACCACCAUAUUAACAUAUGCUAAAUAAGGGACAAUUUUUAAAUAUACAUGUUUUGGUUACUAAAUCUGCCUCUACUUUUGUCUGUGUCAAAAAUUAUGCCGGAGUUUCCAGUAAGAAUGUUAAAGACAAGAUAAGUAGAAAAAAACAACUAAAAGGGACCUAAAUGAGAUGAACAGGAGUUUAUUUGGUAAAGACUAUCUUUUAUGUUUCUGCUCUUUAGGGGAGAAUGUAAUAUUUUCUCAUUUGAAUAUUUUAUGAUGAAAAAGUGUUUAGACAACUUAAUCAAACCCAACAAAGAACCCGAGUCAUUUAUGUGCAUAUUAAGUGUGUAUAUUAUAAUGCAGUCAAAUGGACUGGGUUCUAGAGCUAAGUGAAAUCAUCUUAUAGAUGGUCACUACCAGUAAAUGAUCAGAAGAGACUGAAUGAUUCAAGAUCUCUCACUGCAAAGUGUUUUUAAGAAGAGAUUUCUUUCCAACAUUCUGAGUAUUACUUAACGCCUUUUUAGUUGUAAUAACAGAGAUCCACAUCAACCUAGCUUAAUUAAAACAGGAAGAUUUAUUGUAAGGAGACUUCACAUAACGCAAGGGCAGGAAAUGCAAUAACUGGGGCUCAUGAUAGGCUGUAACUAGGAGUCCAGAUAGUAGUUCUCACUCUUUCUCUCUCUUCUCAAGGCCUAGUUCUCUGGUUCUGGAUGCUUCAGUCUUCUCUGUGCCUCGACUGCCCCAAAGCUCCCAAAUUUACAUGUCCUCUAUUUAGCAAAGCAGACCUCAGAACAGAUUUGCAGGAAAGAAAAUCAAUCAGAUUAACUUUGGCUUAGGAUAGGUGUUGACCCCUAGCUAUAUAGAAGAUGGGGUCUCACAUACAAAUAUAGUUGCCACGCUUUCAUCUUCAAGGGAAGCAGGGGAAUGUUGACUUCAGAGAAGAGGUGAUAUAAUAAGAGGCCAAGCUUCCAAAGGUAACCCAUUAAAAAUAUAAUCAAUUCAGUUUACUUAAAGGUACGCACAGAUAUAGCCUAUAGUUUUUCUGUAACUAUAAUGUGCUCACUGAAACUUGACUAUGUAAGACAGUUUAAAUGGCAACAAUAUAUUUUAGGAAAUUUAGUGCAGAGAACUAACAUAUAUUGGGGAAAGACUAAAGAUUUUAGGGAAUGACAGAUUUGGGUUCCAUUUUUGCCCCAUAUUUCAUAAAGGAGCUGAAGGUAAUUAUUCCACCUCCACAAUCUCAGUUUGCAUAUCUAUGAAUUGGGGACAAUGAUACCUACAUCACAGGGGUCCUGGUAAUUAACAAUUGUAUAUUGCAAUGGCAAGAGCAGUGUAUAAUUUAAGGCAAAAGUCAAUAAAUGAAGCUGUCAUUACUCUCUUUAUGUUUAGUGAUUUUCAGUCAUAAUCUCAGCACUUUAAAGUCGAAUGAAGUACCUAUAUGUUGUUGGAUCAAAAGAGGCUACUUUGAAGCAGCCCCUGAAAAUUUUGAAAA